AUUAUGAGCACACUCUUUAACUAUGAAAAACUUCUGGAUAUUACUUGGUAGUAAGUUGUUAAACGCCUUGAAUAGAAUCUGAACUGUGUAAUAGUUUACGAUGUCAUGAAUCUUAAGUAAUUUUGAUUGAAUAAAAAUAUUUUUAUUUCAAGAAUUUUAUUUAAGAACUUAUUUCUGUCCAUUCUUCUAUUUUACUUAAUUUAUCAUUUACAGUAUUUAUUCAUUGAUUCAUUAUGAUUGUCACUGCUAUAAAAAAUAUUAGUAUCAUCNGCAAAUAAUAUUAGUUUUAGUGAUUUUGAUACAUUGAACAUAUAAUUAAUAUACACGUUAAACAAUUUUAAUAGAAUAGUAUAUAUAGUAUAGUAUAUAAUAGUAAUAGAACAAAGAAACAUACAUAAAUAACAAAAAGCCCACCUCUGUUUGUCCCCAGCAUUGGAGGCAAAGAGCCUGUUAUUGAGCCUCGACUAAGGUGGGCUACUCAACAGAAGUUUGCACUUAUCAUGUUGCACUAAACCCCAUUUGGUGAUCCUAGCUCAUUGUUUUAAUACGUUAAGCUGUUUUCUUAUAAUGGGUUUCAAUGGGAGGAAAAAAAACUUAACGUAACAUUUAUAACUUUCCUAUCGGAGAACAGGUUCAUCCUUAGAGUACUAAUGAAGAGUAAUAAAUUAGUGACAUUUGUUGUUCCUAGCUCAUUAUAGUACAUUAAGCUGUUUUCAAGCAUUCUAGACUCUCUGUACACUUUUGCUGUUUUACCUGCUGAUAAAACCUUUUCACGUUUCAUGUUUUAUUAGUUAGACGGUGGUGUUUGCUUUUUAUUUUGCAGAGCCAUGUGAGUGUUCGAGCUGAUCAUCUCAGUUUGGAUGAGCAGUGUUCAAAAUGUGGACUCUAUCAUUGUCCACUGUGCUCUACAGAGGUUUUUAAGCCUUCAGAUCAUUUCAAUGCUACAAGGCACAUCGAAUCCCACAAAGGUCGAUGUGUUUACUAUGGAGGGUUCACAAUCUACAAAUGCCACCUGACUUGCAGAACAAGUCCACAUUUUCACUGUUUUUCUUGUGGGAAAACAGUCAUUAGAAAAAUGUGCUAUGUAAAACAUCUUACAUCAUGUAGUCCAAAUUCUCCCACUGAGGGACAAAUGGCUAAUUUUGCCAAUCCUCCUGACACGCAUAGACUCCUUUGUGCACCUUCAUCUGCCUGUCCCUGCGUCCCUGCGCCUCCGUCUGUCAUGCUUAAAGACUUCCCUGCGCCUCCAUCUGCCGAGCUUAAAGACGUCCCUGCGCCUCCAUCUGCCGAGCUUAAACACCUACCUGUGCCUCCAUUUGCCGAGCUUAAACACCUCCCUGUGCCUCCAUCUGCCCAGCUUAAACAAGUCCCUGUGCCUCCA
rnacentral:lncRNA from 1 species